rnacentral:tRNA from 1 species
GACUUGGUAGCUCAGUUGGUAGAGCAAAUGACUCUUAAUCAUGGGGUCGAGGGUGCGAGCCCCUCCCAGGUCA